AUGGGAAGUUCAAAACUACCUGCUAACCCCAGGGUUCUUUUGUGUGUGUGUCUAGAUUUCCAGUGGGUUGAAGGGGACGUGUGUGAAGUCCAGCUGAUGGUGUACAACCCCAUGCUGUUUGAGGUUCGAGUGCAGAACAUGAAAGCAAAGCAAACAUCAGAAACAUGGAAGAGAGGACCAAAAUCAAGGACAGCGGCUAUUGAUCUGACUGCCCCGUGCGUCACGUGUGCAUGGUCUCUGCAGUUCUCUGUGGGUUCUAAGAAGCCGCAGCCUUCCACUGCCUUGUUCUGGGCUGCCAGGUGUGUGGUGCAGGCUGGUCCUGCUCACGUUACUCUGUGCCUUGCUGCAGGGGCUGCUGACCAGUGGAGUGGAAUUCGAGUCGCGCCCCGCAGCGCUCUCCCUUCCGGCCGAGUCUGGUCUGUACCUGGUGACGCUCGUAGGGGUCCCACAGACGACUGGAACGAUCACCGUGAAUGA
rnacentral:lncRNA from 1 species